CAAGUCGAGUGCGCGGUUGUAGCAAUACAACUGGCGCACGGCGCACGGGUGCGCAACACGUGGGUAACCUGCCCUUUGGUGGGGAAUAACUCCGCGAAAGCGGAGCUAAUUCCGCAUAAGAUCCGCAAGGAUGAAAGCCGCAAGGCGCCGAAGGAGGGGCCCGCGCCCGAUUAGCUAGUUGGUGAGGUAAUGGCUCACCAAGGCAUUGAUCGGUAGCUGGUCUGAGAGGAUGAUCAGCCACACUGGAACUGAGACACGGUCCAGACUCCUACGGGAGGCAGCAGUGGGGAAUCUUGCACAAUGGGCGAAAGCCUGAUGCAGCGACGCCGCGUGGGGGAUGAAGCAUUUCGGUGUGUAAACCCCUUUCGAUCCGGACGAAACCCCGCAAGGGAUUGACGGUACGGAUAUAAGAAGCCCCGGCUAACUACGUGCCAGCAGCCGCGGUAAGACGUAGGGGGCCAGCGUUGUUCGGAAUUACUGGGUGUAAAGGGUUCGUAGGCGGUGUAGCAAGUCGGGAGUGAAAUCUUUGGGCUUAACCCAGAGACUGCUUCCGAAACUGCUGUGCUUGAGUGUGGGAGAGGCGCGUGGAAUUGCAGGUGUAGCGGUGAAAUGCGUAGAUAUCUGCAGGAACACCCGUGGCGAAAGCGGCGCGCUGGACCACUACUGACGCUGAGGAACGAAAGCUAGGGGAGCAAACAGGAUUAGAUACCCUGGUAGUCCUAGCCCUAAACGAUCAGGACUUGGGGUGCCACCCGUUCGGGUGUCGUCCCGGAGCUAACGCGUUAAGUCCUGCACCUGGGGAGUACGGUCGCAA
rnacentral:rRNA from 1 species